rnacentral:rRNA from 1 species
AUUGAACGCUGGCGGCAUGCUUUACACAUGCAAGUCGAACGGCAGCACAGUGAGCUUGCUCCUGGGUGGCGAGUUGCGAACGUGUGAGUAAUGUAUCGGAACGUGCCUGGUAGUGGGGGAUAACUACUCGAAAUAGUGUCUAAUACCGCAUGAUAUCUUUGGAUGAAAGCUGUGGACCUUCUCGCCUCGUUCUACUUUAGCUUCCGUCAUCAGAUUAGGUUGUUGGUUGGGUAAAGGCCUACCAAGCCUGCGAUCUGUAGCUGGUCUGAGAGGAAGACCAGCCACACUGGGAAUGAGACACGGACGAGACUCCUAAGGGAGGCAGCAGUGGGGAAUGUUGGACAAUGGGCGCAAGCAUGAUCCAGCAAUGCCGCGUGCAGGACGAAGGCCUUCGGGUUGUAAACUGCUUUUGUAAAGAACGAAAAGUAUCUGGCUAAUAUCUAGAGAUCAUGACGGUACUGUAAGAAUAAGCACCGGCUAACUACGUG